rnacentral:lncRNA from 1 species
UUUGCUUCUUUCCUCGCCACCUUGUAGAUUUCCCUGUUCGCUCUCCGUUCUUCCUCGCUUGUACUCCCUGUCAUCUUAGCAAAUGCCGCUUUCUUCACCUCCACUUUUCCUUGGACUACAUCGUUCUUCCACCAGUCACCCUGAUGUCUACCUGAAUAGCCCUUUGCUGCUCCGAGCACAUCCCGUGCUACCUCCCUAACCAAGUUCGCCGUCUCUGACCACAUAACAUCCG